UGUAUUCUCAGGCAUACGAAAACUUAGCAUACCUCAAACCCACAUGGCAAAGCUCAACUCAUGACUCUGCAUAUAGCGGUUCAUCAAGAGCUGUUGAUGGUCGGAAAUCAGAUCUUUCUUAUUUUGGAAAACAAUGCAGCGUAUCAAGUAAUGAACAAUAUACUGCCACGUGGUGGGUGAACCUAGAAGAAAUCCGUGGCAUAAACUUCAUAGUCAUUUUUUACAGAACUGACAAUGCAUAUUGGGAUUCCGGAAAUGGUUACACAACAAGAUUUCUUGGAUUUUAUGUGUAUAUUUCAAAUACAACAAACAGAUUGGAUGGCACUUUGUGUUUUCACGAUACAAGCUACACCAGGUCCACGAUACCCGCCGUUGCCAACAUAAGCUGUCCUGUAUAUGGACAAUACGUCAUCUACUAUAACGAAAGACUUCAGGGUGUCAGCUAUCCAUCUGGAUAUUCGCAAUAUGCAUUCACCGAGCUUUGCGAGGUGGAGGUUUUUGGUUGCUCUGAUCCUACACGUUAUGGUUCAGAUUGUUCACAUCAAUGUUCUUCAAACUGCCUACAAUAUUGUCAGAUAGACUCAGGAAAAUGUCCACAAUGUGCGCCUGGGUACAAGGG